CACUCCUGCGGGAGGCAGCAGUGGGGAAUAUUGCACAAUGGGCGCAAGCCUGAUGCAGCCAUGCCGCGUGUAUGAAGAAGGCCUUCGGGUUGUAAAGUACUUUCAGCGGGGAGGAAGGCGAUAAGGUUAAUAACCUUGUCGAUUGACGUUACCCGCAGAAGAAGCACCGGCUAACUCCGUGCCAGCAGCCGCGGUAAUACGGAGGGUGCAAGCGUUAAUCGGAAUUACUGGGCGUAAAGCGCACGCAGGCGGUCUGUCAAGUCGGAUGUGAAAUCCCCGGGCUCAACCUGGGAACUGCAUUCGAAACUGGCAGGCUAGAGUCUUGUAGAGGGGGGUAGAAUUCCAGGUGUAGCGGUGAAAUGCGUAGAGAUCUGGAGGAAUACCGGUGGCGAAGGCGGCCCCCUGGACAAAGACUGACGCUCAGGUGCGAAAGCGUGGGGAGCAAACAGGAUUAGAUACCCGAGUAGUCCCAUGA
rnacentral:rRNA from 1 species